AGCUCUGAAAUGUUAGAUUUGAAAAAACUCGCCCAGAGCUGCAUCCUAUUAAAGUUCAGUCACCAUGGUUUCAUAUUGGAAUCGAUUUAAUAGGACCACUUCCUGAAACAUCAGCAGGAAAUAAACAUAUCCUCACUAUCUCUGAUUAUUGCACAAAGUGGGUAGCUGCAUUUCCCCUUAAAUCAAAAUUAGCCAGUGGUGUUGCAAUAGCAUUAUAUAAGUUGUUCAUGCAGAUGGGUAUACCAAAAGUUGUUACCUCUGACCAGGGCACAGAAUUUUACAACCAAAUAAACAGGGAACUUAUGUCACUGCUCAAUGUGAAGCAUCAGUUUACCACAGCUUAUCAUACACAGGUUUUCAAAUCUGAAUUGAAUUUGCAUAUAAUUUGCUGUCUGGUUAAAAAUAUUUGAUUUAAUCAUUUUUUAUUUUAGGCUAAUGGCUUAGAUGAGCGGUUCAAUCAAACCAUUCAGUUAAUGCUUGUAAAGUUUUGCAAUGACCGGCACAGUACAUGGGAUACUGUGAUAGAUUAUUACCUCCGCCUGAAUUAUCACCUCCCCCUAUUGAAAACUCAAAACGAGGUUGCGCUUUCUGGUUAUAGCUGUUAGAUGUGUUCCUAAAACAUCCGGAUUACCAUAACAUAACAUAAUUAACAUAAACAUAAACAACGAAAAUGACGCUUCGAGGACAAGAAUUCGAGAAAUAAAGUUUACUUGGUCUUUUGUGAUGUUCCAAUUCCAUUUUUUUGAAAGUGACUCAUCAUGUUAUAGUGUGAUGUUUUCUGAAUGACUUUAUGUGAUAGUGUGAACGUUUUCUGACUGGCAGAAGGAUAUUCAGUUUUCUUUUUGCCCCACCUUGUCAGUCUGGUGGUAAAAAGAAGAGAUAGAACCACAUUUAUGUGUAAACACUGACAGAGGAAAAAAAGGACUAGUUUAUUAUGAAUACUGUAGUAGAUUAUUCCCACCGCCUGAAUUAUUCCAUCCCUCUAUGAAAAACUCAAAACGAGAUUGCGCUUUCGGGUUAUAACUGUUAGAAGUGUACCUAAAACGUCCGUACUACUUUUGUAAACAUAAACAAAGAGAAAAAAACGUUUAGAUGACAAGAAUUUUAGAAAUAAAGUUUAC